UCAGGUCGUCUUCCGGGAGUCGCCAAACACCAGAGGUAGCGGGAUGGCUGUGGCAGCUGCGGUUUCCUGACUCCGCGCCUGCGCAGAAAGCCCUUUGAGGGAGUGCGGUGGUGACUUACUAGGGCUCCGCACUUCUCAGCCCGACAGAGUUUGAAAAGUAACCUUGAGAGAGUCCCUCCCUUGAUUCCAGAGCACAGGCUCCGAACGCACAGGCCCAGUGGCCAUGGCUUAUGGGCUUAGCUGCUCCGCGGCAUGUGAAAUCUUCCCGAACCGGGGCACGAACCUGUGUCCCCUGCAUCGGCAGGCGGAUUCUCAACAACUGCGCCACUAGGGAAGCCCUAAACCUAUACUUCUAAGAUGAAACAAAUGAUAUCACUUAUAUCUUUGCUGGUUCAGAAAUCCCAGACUGAGGGCCAUAGUGCUCAAUCAGGAAUCAGGAUGCAAUACUGAUGGCAACCUCAUCCUCAAGAACAAAGGAUGAAGCUAGAGGUGUACCUGAUGCCUCAGUAGGAAAUUUACAGUUAAGAGGACAAGUUCUGAUCUGAUCUGAACCCAUAGAAUUCAAACUGGAGAAUGAGGUUUCUAUACCAUAUAUACUAUACAACUGGCCCUUUAGAUCAGCAGGUUCUACAUCCAUGAUUUUAACUAACUAUGGAUCACAGAUAUUCUUUAAAAAAAUUCCAGAAUGUUCCAAAAGCAAAAUUUGAAUUUUCCAAAUGCAACUACUUACACAGCAUUACAUUGUAUUAAGUAUUAUAAGUAAUCUAGAGAUGAUCUGUGUGUGUGUUUUAUUUACUAUUUCUGCAGGUAUUUAGGGCAUAAAUGUAUGAUCUUACUCUAAGAGAAUAUAGACUGAUGAUGCGUAGUACAAUGUGGGAUUAAAAUGUCUCUUUUAGCACAUCAAACUGAAAUGUAGUAGCUUUUGUUUCUUGGAGAUUUGGUUUGAAGUUUCUUUGUCAGAAAUAUUCAACACAGUGAUCUCUGGAGUGGAAAGAAACGAGCUUUUCAGAGAUAUGAAGCUGGGUAUAUUAUUUCCUCCUCACACAAAUCAGAAACUGGGUAGGGUAAAUUCACAUGAAAUUUAUUUCCACUUAGUCCUGACUUUGACACAUUCAGAGUUAACUUACCUCUAAGUUAACA